AACAAACCAAGCUAGGCAAGCCUUCUCUCUAAUAUCACCCGUCAUAAACCUCAAAAACCACAAUGCAAGCCACAAAGGAUAACAAGGAUCAGAAAAACAAAUUGGAACAAGUGUUUCGAGCUUACUCUAAGCAGGGCAGCAUCACCAGGGACCAGCUCAAGGAUGCUUUUGAACAUCUAGGUGCAGUCACGCCAAACAAGCAAGUUGAAGAGGCCAUGGACGUUGCUGAUAAAAAUAAGGACAAUUUGAUCGACUGCACCAACGAUGAGUUGGAUUCUCUUGUUGAAUAUGCUUACAAUAAAGGCUUCAGCGGUUCCAUUUGAGUGCCGAUGGAUAAAAUUUCAGCCUAAGUAUGGGGGAUGCUUAUGACUGAUGAAAAAUAACUAUAUAGUUUUCGGUCUUUUUCCUUCAUGUUGUCUCAAAAAAACAUGAUAAAAUUAAAAUAAAAUAAAACCCCUUGUUUUUAUGUAAUUCUGUGUGUAAUUUUGCAUGCUUGUAAGUUACAUUUUGUGUGUCUCAACUAUCGAGUACCGUAAACACGUUGUUCGAACUAUUAUAAAUUAUAGACAAAUAAUUUUAUUACUUAAAAACAUAAACAAAAAGUUUGAGAAAACUUAAAAGUACACCUAUUUAAAGGGAAAGCAGACAAUAUAUAUAUGAACCUAAUUUAAAUGCUUAAUUUUUUUAUUUUUGCAUACAUUUACACAUAUACAUUUAUACACACAAGCGCGCACACGCAUACACAUAUGAGUAUAGAAGAAUAUGGUUUCGAUAAAAUUAAAACUAUUUGACAAAGAAAUUGGAUGUCGGUUUUAGUGGGCAAAGGAAAGUUACACUCUGAUAAGAAUUAAAACAUCAAAGCGAGUUAAUUAGAUGCAAAAUUUGAAAUGGAAUUUCAUUUAUGAAGGUAACUUCAAACAUCCAAAGUUGAAAUACCUUUUUUAGCAAAAUUAUAUAUAUUUGAAUUUUGUUUUUGAAAAUAGUUAAUUUUUUUUAUAAUUUUAUUAAAAUGUUUGCAAAGCAUAUAUAAAGGAUUAAUUUCUGGAGUCUUUUGUGUGUUGCUUUGGUUUAGAAAACACAGUUUUACAUUAAUUUAAAAAAGCCAUUUAUUUGAUUAAGAAAUUAUUAAUUUUAAUCUUUUAAAUUAUUUUUCUAUCUUACUAUUAAUUACUUCAUUUUUCAAUAAUAAAUUUUGACCCUUUCUUACUUCAUAAAAUGUUUCUUACAAAAUUAUUAUAGUGAGAUGAUGCUAUUGUAAUUUGGUAAUAAGACAUAUUUUUUAACUUUUCUAGAAGCUUCUUAUUAUCUAACCCCCAAUUCCUUACUAUAUUUUGCACAUUUUAUAAGAUAGUUUUUAGCUUUUUACUACUUGUUUUAUAUGUAUUAUUUUAUGUGCAUGUAUAAUGUAUGAUGAUAUAACGAAUUCAUAUUUAAAAUUGUCAUAAUUUAAACUUUGAUCAUUAAAAUUAAAAAUUUAAUAUUCUAUUAACAUCUCAUACUACUAUUACCAUUUUGAUAAUAAAUUUUAAAAACUCCACUACUACAAGUGAAUGUGAUAAUUUUUAUAAUAUAAAUGUAUGGGCAUACUUACUUAAGUUUUAAGAACUAUAAAUUUUGGUUAAAUAGAUUUUAGGCCUGAUUAAGAACUCAAUUAAUGAACCAUUGGACUCAACGCAACCUCAAAGAAAUCCAACAACACUGAAUUCAAAAUGCCAAGGAUUGAGGCCAUCCAUUUUUUGGCACUUGUUUCACACCCCAAUAGUUAACUAGGAAAGUAAUUAAUUUCCAAAGAUCUCUUUCAAUCAACUAGUUCUAAUUAAGGUUCAAAUUAAGAGAUAGGGUUUAAAUAAUUUUCUUUACCUUUUUCUUGAAUACUAGAAUGAGCUCGUACGUAGCUUUAACUAUUUCAUUAAUUAAAAUAAUUCAUUAUUUAUUUUAUUUUUUAUUAUUUUGAUAUAAAUUUUAAUAGAAUUAAAUUAAAAAUAAUUUUUAUAUUAUUUUUUAUAAAAUUUAUAUAAUUAAAAAAGUAAAAGAUAAGAAAACUAAAUAGAGGUGAAGAUGGAUAUCUCAAUUGACCUUUUUUCCCACUAAAUUUAUCUAAUAAAAAAAUUAAAAAAAAAAAACAAAAACAAAAACAAAAAUAAAAGAAGAGCUCGGUAAGGGUGCAGCAUGAAAACCUCCAUUGAAUUUAAAAUAUUGAUUUAUUAAAUUAAAGUAUCAAAUAAUUAUUUUAUUAAUAUGAUACCUAUAUAUAAAUAUAAAACUAAAUUAGUAAUAAAAUAUAUACUUUUACAUAUAUCUCAAGAUUACUUAGGUUAACACGCCCUAAGUUCACUUCUUAUGUCUUUUUACUAUCCUAAAAUACCAACUUGAAUUGAUUUGAUAUCGAUUUUUUUAUAAAAACAUCCAUAUCAAACCGAGAUGGAUUGAAACUCAUUGAAUACUGAUUAUUUUGCUAUCUUUAUCAAUCAUCUCAUUUUGUUAUAAAAUUUAUCUAAUUCAAAUAUAUAUAAAUGAAAAUAUAUAUAAAAAAAAUAAGGAUGCUAUGUAAACACCUCCUUGACAUUAUUUUCUCAAAAAAUUAUUUAAUUAAAAAAUGCAAAAAGGAAAAAAAAAACAAAAAGUAAAACAAAAGAGACAAAAUUUAUUUUAAUCAAUAAUUUCAAAUGAGUCCAAUCAUAAAUUAAAAAAAGUAUUUAUUAAAUGUAACAAAGUGAAAAAAAAUAUAAAAAUAAAAAAAAAGGAAUGGAAAAAAGAAAAAGAGAAGAAAAUGAAAAAACAAGUGAGUUAAAGGCGCGACACUUGGAGGUCAAAAUGUGCAAAGUUAAUAUUAUAGAUAAUAAAAUAUAUACUUUUAUACAUAUCUCAAAAUAGAUUAGGGUAAGGUACCAUUAACCUAUCCUUAACCCAACUUCAUUUCUCUUUAAAAAAACUCAAUUUGCCCAAACUUGAUCAAAAAAAAAAAAAAAUGACACCCUUACUGGAUCUGUCAAGUCAAAAUCCAUUAGAUACAAAUUAUUUUUUUAUCCUUAUCAAUCGAUUUUUUUUGUUGAAAAAUUUAUCUAACAAACAAACAAAAAAGGCAAAAAAAGGUAAUAUAUAACUUUAUUAAUAUAAUACAUACAUAUAAAAUAUAAAUUAAAAAAAAAUUAUAUAUACUUGGAUGGGGCGCAACACUUGAAACUUGCAUUUGACUUUGAUUUAAAAAAAACUUGACCUGAUCCUAAAUUACAAAAAGAAAGUGCAUUGAUUGAAUACAUAUAAAUUAAAACCUAUUGAAUACGACCAUUCUGUCAUCUAUACAACAAUUGACUUUUUUUAAAUUUAUUUAUUGAUUUAUUUUUAUUAUAUAUUUAUCUAAUUAAAAAAAAAAAAGAUGAAAGGCUUAAAAAUGAAAUGGGAUGUCACGUAGGCGCAUCCGUUGCCUUUUCUUUCAUUUAAACAACCGAUCUAAUAAAAAAUAAAGGGAGAAAAAAACUAAAAAUUAUAAAAAUAAUAACAAAAAAAAGGAAAAAAAAGUUAAGUUGUCAUGUGAUAUUAGCAAUGAUGAGUUAUUUUUGUAAUAUUUUUAUAUUUAACUUUUUUUUAAAAUAAAAAUCUAUAAAAAUGAAAGGUUGAAAAAAAAAAAUCUAGAUGCCAUAUAAACACUUCCAACAACAUCAUUUUUUACAAAAUUAUCUAAUUUAAAAAGGAAAAUGUAUAGAAAAUAUGUAUUUUUAAUCAAUAAUAUCAAAUAAAUCCUACUAAUAAACACACCAAUGUUAGAUCGGUGCACAUCAAAAUUAAUCAGAUAUGAAUUUUUUAUCAUCUUUAUCAUUAACUCUUUUUUUUUUGAACAAAAUUUAUAUAAUAAACAAAAUAAAAUAAAAAGUUGAAAAAAUUAAUAAAAUAGAUUUAAUAAAAAUAAAAAAUAGAUUAAAAAUAGAUUUUCGAAGAAGGAUGGAGUGCCAUGUAGAUACCUUCUUAUUCCUCUAAAAUCUACAACUUCAAUAUAAUAUUAUAUAUAAAUAUAUAUAUAUUAAUAGAUGGGUGGAUAAUAAAAAAUAUAUAAAUAUAUACAUAUGUAUUUUAUAUAACCAAAACGAGAUGAAACAUCAUAAACCCACUUUUGACCUGACUUUGAUUUAAAAAAAAUCUCAACUAGAUUUUAAAUUUUAAAAAAUGCAACAUCAUAGAUCAAGAUGAAUAAGAAUCCACCGAAUUUAGAUUUUUUUGCCAUUACCUUUAUUGACUUUUUUACAAGAUAUAUUUAAUUAAAAAUUAAAUUUAAAAGCACAAAAAAUAAAAAAAAUUAAGGUUGGAUAUUAAAAAAAAGGUGAAAAAAAGAAAUGAAAAUAACCAAUUAAAAACCAAAACCUGAUAAAAAAAAAAAGGACAGGUUCAUCGUGAACAUUCUUUCUUCCUCAAAUGUCUACAAAAUUAAUUGAUAUAUAUACUAGUAAUUCAAUGUGUAUUUUGACAAAAAUAUUUGCAUUAGGGCCAAGACCAGAAGAAUCAAAGAUUUAUUGAUUUAAUGUAGAAAAUACAUUGCACCUUUUUCAUUAAUAUUUUCAUGGGAUUUUAGUGAUGGUGAGAGUUGCUGCAAGGUAUGGAAAUUAAAAAAAAAAAAAACUCUGCUCCUGAUAGAAAAUACAUUGCCAUUUCUGAUUAGUAUUUUCUUGGGUUUUUAGUGAUGAAAGGUUCUGAUUUUGUUAGGGGGUUGAGUUAGAGCUGCUGCAAGGUAUGGGAAUGAAAACAUUAAUAUUUUUAUUCGAACCAAUCCUCUUCGAAUAUAAUUUUUUAAAGUAUUCAUUAUAAAAUUUUAUAGAUUGAUUUAUUAAUUUUAUUGAUAAAAAGGAUGGAAAUCAAAUUUUAAAAGCUACCACCAAAAAAUGUUUUUAUUCCCCACACUUCAACAGAAUCCUGUUCGAGUUUUGGGUCUAUAUAAACAAAUUACAUUGGAAAGAAAAACAAACAAACCAAGCUAGGCAAGCCUUCUCUCUAAUAUCACCCGUCAUAAACCUCAAAAACCACAAUGCAAGCCACAAAGGAUAACAAGGAUCAGAAAAACAAAUUGGAACAAGUGUUUCGAACCUACUCUAAGCAGGGCAGCCUAACCAGGAACCAGCUCAAGGAUGCUUUUGAACAUCUAGGUGCACUCACGCCAAACAAGCAAGUUGAAGAGGCCAUGGACGUUGCUGAUAAAAAUAAGGACAAUUUGAUCGACUGCACCAAUGAUGAGUUGGAUUCCCUUGUUGAAUAUGCUUACAAUAAAGGCUUCAGCAGUUCCGUUUGAGUGCCGAUAGAUCAACUUUCAGCCUAAGUAUGGGGGAUGCUUAUGACCGAUGAAAAAUAAAUAUAUAGCUUUGGGUCUUUUUCCUUCAUGUUGUCUAAAAAAUAUGAUUAAAUUAAAAUAAAAUAAAAAUCCCCUGUUUUUAUGUAAUUCUG
rnacentral:lncRNA from 1 species